rnacentral:rRNA from 1 species
GGCCUACGGGGGGCAGCAGUCGAGAAUCUUCGGCAAUGGGCGCAAGCCUGACCGAGCGACGCCGCGUGGAGGACGAAGGCCUUCGGGUUGUAAACUCCUGUCGAGGGGGAAGAAGGGGUAAAACCUUGACUGAUCCCUGGAGGAAGCACGGGCUAAGUUCGUGCCAGCAGCCGCGGUAAGACGAACCGUGCGAACGUUAGUCGGAAUCACUGGGCUUAAAGCGCGUGUAGGCGGGAGGGCACGUCGGUCGUUGAAAUCCCCCGGCUCAACCGGGGAAGUGGCGCCGAUACGACCUUCCUGGAGGGACGUAGGGGGACCUGGAACUUCCGGUGGAGCGGUGAAAUGCGUUGAGAUCGGAAGGAACGCCCGUGGCGAAAGCGGGGUCCUGGACGUUUUCUGACGCUGAGACGCGAAAGCCAGGGGAGCAAACGGGAUUAGAUACCCUAGUAGUC